rnacentral:lncRNA from 1 species
AAAGGACCAAAUAGGCAAUUAUGCCUUUUUCUAAAGUUGAGGCGGCAUAACAAAAGAAAAAUCUAAGAUAUUUUUAAUUUAAAAUAUAUAUUAUAUUAUACAUGCGUAAGUAAUAAUUAUGUUUUUAUAUUAUAUUAUUAUUAAUAUAUUAUAUUAUAUUAUAUUAUAUUAUUAUUAUAUAUAUAUGACAAAGAAAGAAAGAAAAGAAACAGAGAGCAAAACAAAACAGAGAAGGGAGAAAGAAAGAAACAGAGAGCAAAACGAAACAGAGAAGGAAGGAAGGAAAGAAAGAAAGAAAGAAAAGAAAAGAAAAAGGGAAAUUUGGGGUUUUAAGGUUCAAAGUAAUUUGGUAAGUCAAUUUAAUCCCAUUUUCUCUUAAUUUUGAUAUUUUUUUUGAAAUCCUAGAACAAAAUACUACUUGAUUAAGUUGAAAUUUUGGAAGUUAGUAGAUUAUUAAGCAUGGUUCAUGUUGAAUAAAUUGUUAAAUUAGGGAUGUAUUUGAUAGAAAUUUUGAUUGGAAUUGAAUAAAGGAUUGAAUUGUAAACUAAACUAUAAGUUUUGAAUUUUAGGGAUUAAUUUGAAAUAAAUUCGAAAUUAUGAAAACAUGAUAAAAAUUAAAUAGUUAAAUAUGAGUUUAGCAAGAAAUUGGGUAGAAUAAGGGUAUGAAUUGAGAAAGAAAAAUAUAUAGGUUUAGUUAGGGGUUAAAUUGAUUUAAUUUCAAGUUAGAAGUUAGUAAAGAACAUAAUUGUAAAAUAAAAUAUAAGUUUUGAAUCGAUAGGGAUUAAAUUGAAAGAAUCCCGAAAUUAGGGAUUUAUGGUGAAAUUGAGGAAUUAAAUUGACUUUAUAGUAAGAAUUAAGAGAGAAUAUAGAGUUAGAAUGCAAAAAUAAAAUUAGUAUUGAUAAGGGAUUAAAUUAGAAUUUGAUGUUGCCAUAGAAGGGAAAAAUGUUCAGAAUGUUAUAAAACAUAAGAAUAAGAGAUGAAGUUUAAUUUCCGAGCCUUGGGGCAAAAAUGUAAUUAUGUAAAAGUUUAGGGGCAAAAUUGUAAUUUUGAAAAAGUUAGAGUCGAGGGCUAUUUUGAUGAAUGUGAUUAUUAAAUAAGUUAAAUUUACUAUUUUAGAUCAAGAAGUACGAAACUCGAGGUUAGACAAAGGGAAGAAUAAAGUUGAAGACUAAGUUGGUGAAUUUGGCUAUAAUUGGUACCGAGGUAAGUUUACGGUAAAUAAAUGCAAUAUUUCAAUAUUUAUUAUUAAUGCUGUUAAUUUCCAGCAAUUAUGAAUUUAUUUUAUGAAUUUAUUUGAUGAUGAUCCAAGCAUGAAAUGAUAGAGAAUUAAAAUUUAAAAGUCCCGUUGAUACAUAAGGAUGGUACUGGAUACGAAUGUCAUGACAUUUGGGUAAAGAGAUCCCAUGUAAGACCAUGUCUGGGACAUGGCAUUGGCAUCCUUAAGAUCAUGAGAGGUCCCCUGUAAGACCAUGUCUGGGACAUGGCAUGGGCACCGAGACGAGAGGUCCCAUGUAAGACCAUGUCUGGGACAUGGCGUUGGCACCGAGAUGAGAGGUCCCCUAUAAGACCAUGUUUGGGACAUGGCAUGGGCACCAUCACGAGAACAUCCCAUGUAAGACCAUGUCUGGGACAUGGCUUUGGCAUGUUAUUAUCAGAAGAGACCCGAGUAUCCUUAUUAUUCCAAUGUAGUUCAACGGGCUUGUAAACGAAUCAUGUUUUUAAAGCAUAAAUGGCAAGCUCAGGUAAGUUGUAAGACUUAAGAACUUAUUAUACUAUCAAUUGAUGUUCAACGAUGCAGCAAGGAUUGAGUAAGUUAUGCACACAAAUAUUCUAAGUAAACAAGUAAGAGAACUAGUAUGAGAUUAACUAAAGAGUAAACUAGAGAUAUAGACAUUGAGUUUAAUUAUUUAAGUUAAAUAUUGUUAUUUAUUUGCUAGUAAACUUACUAAGCUUUAUGCUUACUUCUUUUAUUUAUCUUUCUCUUAUAGUAUUGUAAAGCUACUUCAAGGAUCCUAAAGAAGUCGGAGAUCGUCCACACUAUCAACUACAACUGCUCGGUAUUUUAUAUCGAAACACGUUUGAGUUAUGGCAUGUAUAGGGAUUUAGUUAUUUUGUAUGUUUGUAAUGAUGAUUUUGCUAAUGAGUGAUGUGUAAGUAUUUGAUGAUGUAUGGUUAUUAAAAUGAUUAAGGAUGAAGGUGUUUGUUGUUAUGAAAGAUUAGGUGAUAAAUUAUGCAUGGAAAUCAUGAAAGGAUAAAAUUUUGCAAAGAAACAGAAUUCAGGCAGCACAGUGACGUGAAUUUGAAAAAUCACCCAAGAUAGUAUAAAAUGAAUUAGAGGGUGAAUGAUAUAUGGAAUUAAAGCUUGUUGAGUCUAUUUUCAUGGAAAAAUAACAGUGUAGAAAAAGGAAAUUUAUAUUUUAAGAUAUGUGAAUUUUAGUAAGAUAGGGUCAGAACUGUUUUUGGAGUCC